GAUGAACGCUGGCGGCGUGCCUAAUACAUGCAAGUCGAGCGAACGGACGAGAAGCUUGCUUCUCUGAUGUUAGCGGCGGACGGGUGAGUAACACGUGGAUAACCUACCUAUAAGACUGGGAUAACUUCGGGAAACCGGAGCUAAUACCGGAUAAUAUUUUGAACCGCAUGGUUCAAAAGUGAAAGACAGUCUUGCUGUCACUUAUAGAUGGAUCCGCGCUGCAUUAGCUAGUUGGUAAGGUAACGGCUUACCAAGGCAACGAUGCAUAGCCGACCUGAGAGGGUGAUCGGCCACACUGGAACUGAGACACGGUCCAGACUCCUACGGGAGGCAGCAGUAGGGAAUCUUCCGCAAUGGGCGAAAGCCUGACGGGGCAACGCCGCGUGAGUGAUGAAGGUCUUCGGAUCGUAAAACUCUGUUAUUAGGGAAGAACAUAUGUGUAAGUAACUGUGCACAUCUUGACGGUACCUAAUCAGAAAGCCACGGCUAACUACGUG
rnacentral:rRNA from 1 species